rnacentral:rRNA from 1 species
CCUACUACAUGGAUAACUGUGGUAAUUCUAGAGCUAAUACAUGCUAAAAAUCCCGACUUCGGAAGGGAUGUAUUUAUUAGAUUAAAAACCAAUGCCCUUCGGGGCUCUCUGGUGAUUCGUAAUAACUGCUCGAAUCGCAUGGCCUUGCGCCGGCGAUGGUUCAUUCAAAUUUCUGCCCUAUCAACUUUCGACGGCUGGGUCUUGGCCAGCCAUGGUGACAACGGGUAACGGAGGGUUAGGGCUCGACCCCGGAGAAGGAGCCUGAGAGACGGCUACUACAUCCAAGGAAGGCAGCAGGCGCGCAAAUUACCCAAUCCCAAUUCGGGGAGGUAGUGACAAUAAAUACUGAUACAGGGCUCUUUUGGGUCUUGUAAUCGGAAUGAGAACAAUUUAAAUCCCUUAACGAGGAACAAUUGGAGGGCAAGUCUGGUGCCAGCAGCCGCGGUAAUUCCAGCUCCAAUAGCGUAUAUUAAAGUUGUUGCAGUUAAAAAGCUCGUAGUUGAACCUUGGGCCUGGCUGGCCGGUCCGCCUCACCGCGUGCACUGGUCCGGCCGGGCCUUUCCCUCUGGGGAGCCGCAUGCCCUUCACUGGGCGUGUCGGGGAACCAGGACUUUUACUGUGAAAAAAUUAGAGUGUUCAAAGCAGGCCUAUGCUCGAAUACAUUAGCAUGGAAUAAUAGAACAGGACGCGUGGUUCUAUUUUGUUGGUUUCUAGGACCGCCGUAAUGAUUAAUAGGGACAGUCGGGGGCGUCAGUAUUCAAUUGUCAGAGGUGAAAUUCUUGGAUUUAUUGAAGACUAACUGCUGCGAAAGCGUUCGCCAAGGAUGUUUUCAUUAAUCAGGAACGAAAGUUAGGGGAUCGAAGACGAUCAGAUACCGUCGUAGUCUUAACCAUAAACUAUGCCGACUCGGG